rnacentral:rRNA from 1 species
UUUCAGAGGAUUUGAUCCUGGUCCAGGAUGAACGCUGGCGGCGUGGAUAAGGCAUGCAAGUCGAGCGGAUCUAUUUUUGAAGAAGUUGCGAUUACAUCAAGAUGACAGAUUAAAUAGGUUAGCGGCGAACGAGUUAGUAACACCCUAGUACGUACCCCAAAGUCGAGCAUAGCUCAUCGAAAGGUGAGGUAAUACUCGAUGGUCUCGCAAGAGUAAAGGCGCAAGCUGCUUUGGGAUCGGCUUAGGUCCGAUCAGCUAGUUGGUAGGGUAACGGCCUACCAAGGCUAUGACCGGUAGGGGAGGUGAGAGCCUGACCCCCAACGACGAGACUGAGACACGGCUCGUACUCCUACGGGAGGCAGCAGUCGAGAAUAUUCCACAAUGGGCGAAAGCCUGAUGGAGCGACGCCGCGUGCAGGAAGAAGGCCUUCGGGUCGUAAACUGCGGUAGCCCCGCAACAACGAAAGUGAGUGCGGGGCGGAAAGAGGUGGGUAACUACGUGCCAGCACCAGCGGUAAUACGUAGACCUCAAGCGUUAUCCGGAUUUAUUGGGCGUAAAGAGCGUGUAGGGGGCUCGGUGCGUCUUUGGUUAAAGCCCACCGCCUAACGGUGGAAGUGCCAAAGAUACGAUCGGGCUAGAGGGAGUUAGGGGUGAGCGGAACGCACGGUGUAGGGGUGAAAUCCGUUGAUAUCGUGCGGAACACCAAAGGCGAAGGCAGCUCACUGGGACUCUCCUGACCCUGAGACGCGAAAGCGUGGGGAGCAAAAAGGAUUAGAUACCCUUGUAGUCCACGCCCUAAACGAUGCCUGCUUGCUGUUUCGAGUAUCGACCCUCGGAGUGGCGAAGCUAACGCGUUAAGCAGGCCGCCUGGGAAGUACGAGCGCAAGCUUAAAACUCAAAGGAAUAGACGGGGACUCGCACAAGCGGUGGAACAUGAGGUUUAAUUCGACGACAAGCGAGGAACCUUACCAGGGCUUGAAAUGUUUUUCGAAAGCUUGCUGAAAGGCGAGCCUUCUCACAAGGACGGAAAGCACAGGUGCUGCACGGUUGUCGUCAGCUCGUGUCUUGAGAUGUUCCCUUAAGUGGGGUAACGAGCGCAACCCCUAGUCUGUGUUACAAGUGUCACAGACAACCGCCCAGCCCAGAGUUCGUGAAACUUGAAUCGUGAAACGUGAAUCAUAUUUUUUUCUAUGUUUCAUGUUUUAUGUUUCAGGAUUCAUGAUUUUUGGGCUGGGAGGAAGGAGGGGAUGACGUCAAAUCAGCGUGGCCCUCUGACGCCCUGGGCCACACUCAUGUUACAAUGGUUGGGACAAUGGGUUGCCAAGCCGUAAGGCGGAGCUAAUCCCAUCAAACCCAGCCCCAGUUCGGAUUGAGGGCUGCAACUCGCCCUCAUGAAGCCGGAAUCGCUAGUAAUCGCGCAUCAGCCACGGCGCGGUGAAUACGUUCUCGAGUCCUGUACUCAC